ensembl:lncRNA
UUCGAACACUGCAGGGGUCACGGUGGUUUCUGAUGAGGUAAGAGAACUUAUCAUUAUUGAGUCUGAUUUCGAGGUUCUGCUCCUUCUGAAGCAUUUGCAGUGCAGAGACCAUUAAUAGUUUAAAAUGUGCGGGUAGGUGGGGGGGGGGGGGGGGGGGUUAUAUUGCAAAACUCUGAUAAGGUUUCACCCAUUCACUUCAACAGGAAAAAAUGUUAUCAACCACAACACAGAUGUUGUGACAUCAUAAUACCCAGUUUCAGUAUAUGCAGAAAGAACCUUUAUCAGCAAUUCUAUUCCUUUAGAUGUUUUUGUGUACAGCACUCAAGCAGUUACUUCAAAAAUUGUUGCUGUUGUUGUAUAAACUCAGAUUUUUCAAAACAGGUCAUUGAUGCAUAUCUGCACCGUGUUAUUGACAGACGAAAGGUAAGUAAGAAAUGUCAUUUACCUACUAAUUUUGAAAUAAAAAAAAAACCCUAUUUACUGUUCUAUAACAUUUUUCUAUACUUGUGCAGAAUGCUGCACACCUGCUCUGUUCAGUAGUUGCAAGCUCGUUGUUUUCUGGGCAGUUCAGAUGCCUCAACUGGUAUGUUGAAAGCUCAGAAGUGGUCCAAACAGUUGACUCCUUUCUGUUGCUGAGGAAAGAGUUCGGUUCCUUUAAAGAAGACUAUAUUUGAAAACACCCUGAGACGCAUGGUACCUAAGUAAAUCCAAAUUACUCUGCACUUCCAAUCCCACAGAUGAAGUUCCCAGUUGAAGACGUGGCUGUGCCCUGUGAACUUUGGUACACACUGGAUUCUUGUGGUAUGUGUUCAUUUUGUUAUUAAUUUGCAUAAUUUGUUGUGAAGCAGUUUCUUGCACAAAGUGUUAUUUUUAAAUAAGUUUUCAGUGGCACAAACAAUUGUAAUUUUUAAUUUAACUUUUUCUUUAGAUUGUCAACAUUUCUGCACAGAAAAUACUGCUCAUAGACCCCAUGGGAAUGAAGGUGUUUAUGACAGGAAAAUUCUGCGCAACUGGAGGUAUGUAUGAUACUGAGGUGUUAUUCUUAGAUUAAAAAAAAAAAAAUCUUGUUUCAUUACAAACACUUUUGUUCAACUAGGAAUUUUCUGAGGAUGAGAGGGCAUGAAGACACCAUGGAGUGGCAGUUACAGACUAUGCAACACAACAAGCGACAGGAUUCCUGCAGUUGUGGAGUUUUACUGUUAAAGGUAACCCUUAUUCAAAUGAUUCAGUUUCUUGUUAGCUAGAAUUAAGACUUUAAGUGAAUUUAAGUGAAGUGAAAGUUAUUUCGGUCAACAACAACAAAGAUGAUCAUUUUACAUAGAAGUACUUAAUCAUACAGUAACUGAAAAAGGAAUAGGCUGAAGCCUUGUGGCUUAUAAUUAUCCUAUCCUUUACCUAAUUAAGACUUUACAUUCUAAUUAUGAUCAAUCUCACAGUUUGCAGAACACUACCUUGAUUUUGGAGAGGUCAGUGAGGUGUCAACCACUACAGAGCCAGUUGUGCUGGAGCGAAUGCAGAUAGCUUGCACCCUACUUGAAAAUCGAGGUAAGUCCAGUAAAGUCCUUAUCACGUUAGUGCGUACUUCCAAUUUAAAUAGUGCUUUUCAAACAGCACAGUACAAAUAGUGCUCUUCAAACACUUUCAGAUAAGACCCUUCUCAAAGUCUAAUUUAGACUAAUUUUCCAGGAAGUAUAUUUGGAAAAAAUGUACUAUUAUUUUUUAAUUAUUCAAUAAAUAAUGUUUGAUUAAAACCUAACUAUGAUUGUGUUUCAGGG